rnacentral:rRNA from 1 species
UAGGGAAUCUUCCACAAUGGACGCAAGUCUGAUGGAGCAACGCCGCGUGAGUGAAGAAGGUUUUCGGAUCGUAAAGCUCUGUUGUUGGUGAAGAAGGAUAGAGGCAGUAACUGGUCUUUAUUUGACGGUAAUCAACCAGAAAGUCACGGCUAACUACGUGCCAGCAGCCGCGGUAAUACGUAGGUGGCAAGCGUUGUCCGGAUUUAUUGGGCGUAAAGCGAGCGCAGGCGGAAUGAUAAGUCUGAUGUGAAAGCCCACGGUUCAACCGUGGAACUGCAUCGGAAACUGUCAUUCUUGAGUGCAGAAGAGGGGAGUGGAAUUCCAUGUGUAGCGGUGGAAUGCGUAGAUAUAUGGAAGAACACCGGUGGCGAGGGCGGCUCUCUGGUCUGCAACUGACGCUGAGGCUCGAAAGCAUGGGUAGCGAACAGG